UUAGUGGCGGACGGGUGAGUAACGCGUGGGUAACCUGCCUUACACAGGGGGAUAACACUUAGAAAUAGGUGCUAAAACCGCAUAAGCGCACAGCUUCGCAUGAAGCGGUGUGAAAAACUCCGGUGGUGUAAGAUGGACCCGCGUCUGAUUAGCUUGUUGGCGGGGUAACGGCCCACCAAGGCGACGAUCAGUAGCCGGCCUGAGAGGUUGAACGGCCACAUUGGGACUGAGACACGGCCCAGACUCCUACGGGAGGCAGCAG
rnacentral:rRNA from 1 species